UGAGGACUGAACUGUUAAGCAAGGAGGAACAAGUGCUUAAUGAUCUCAAAAUACUCUGAGACUAGGGCCAGAAGCAACUCUGUCAGGGCUCUCCCUGGGUUUUCAGGAGGGGAGUUCCCAGAGAACAGGGUUCUGCAUGAGGGCUUAGCUGAAAUACCCUGUUUUAGUUUCCUGGCUAAAACAAACGCCAUGCAAUGGGUCAGCUUAACAAUAAGAAUUUACUCACUCA
rnacentral:sRNA from 1 species